UAUUGACCAGGAUUAUAUGGACUACUAGAAUAGGGGAAAUAUUAUUCUAUUUUAUUUACAUUGACAUUUACAUUUAGUCAUUUAGUCAUUUAGCAUACGCUUUUAUCCAAAGCGACGUACAAAUGAGGACAAUGGAAGCAAUCAAAAACAACAAAAGAGCAAUGAUAUAUAAGUGCUAUAACAAGUCUCAGUUAGCCUAAACACAGUAUACGUAGCAAGGGCUUUUAAAUAAUAUAAUAAAUAAAAAGAAAACAGAUAGAAUAGAAAAAGAAUAGAGCAAGCUAGUGUUAGAGGUCUUUUUUUAUAAUUGUAUAAUAAAUGAAAAGAAAAUAGAUAGAAUACAAAAAGAUUAGAAAGGUAGUUAAUUUUUUUUUUUUUUUUUUUUUAAAUAGAAUUAGAAUAGUGAGUGCAAAAGUUAGAGGGUCAAAUAAAGAUGGAAGAGAUGUGUUUUAAGCCGAUUCUUGAAGAUGGCUAAGGACUCAGCUGCUGGGAUUGAGUUGGGCAGGUCAUUCCACCAGGAGGGAACAUUUAAUUUAAAAGUCCAUAAAAGUGAAUUAAUCUGAAUUAAAAUUAAUUAAUUAAAUAAUCUUAAUUAAUUAAAAGUGAAUUAAUUAAUCCAUUAAUCUGCAGUGUCAGUAUGCUGAGCUCAUCUAACUUGCGAUUCAUCUUUUUCAGGGUCUGUAUGUGUUUUCCAUCUUCAUCAUGCAUAAUCAGCACUUCUGGCCUGCUAAGGCAACCUACACUGUGGAGAUGGCACUGGUGGUGCUACUGUCGGUGGGGGAGAAAUCAGCAAAUCCACACAGAACCUCAUCAGUGCCAUGGAAGAGAUCUAUGCAGACUGGGAGAGAGCUUCACUGAGGCCCAGCAGUCAGCCUAGCAGUGUUUUUAAACAGAGUCCUCAGGACGAGACCUACGUCACAGAAGAAGGCUCCUGAACACUAAUCUGGUGCAGGACGAGGAGUCACAGUGUCUGAGGAGUCUGAUGACCUCAUAUUUGCCUUAAAAACUGGUAAGUCCCUUUUUCAACCACCAUUCGAUAUGCAUUGACUGGAUAUUCAUCCCACUGAUGUACUUCAUAAUAAACAAUGAAAAUAUCUUCCUGGCAUUAAAUUAUAGCACAUUUUUAGAACUGAUUAAGGUAUGUAAACCGAAAGAAUAAAAACAUGGUUUGUGUGUGUGCACAUAUCGGAUCAGUAUGGAGCUUAACAAACCAGUUCUACAAACUUGCCAAGUGAAACAGAAAGUUGUUUGUGUCUUUAGGACAACUGAUUAAAAAAAAAUCAUAAGGCGUCAAACCAGGCAAUUAUAGUUUUUUUUUUUAUGUAUUUGUUUGAAUUGAAAAUUUAUAAUAAAAACAGUAAUAGUUAAAUACAUUUCUGAAAUAACAUUCUAUGCUUUGUUUUGCUAAAAAGCACUUUUGACUUUUGAUUUCUGUGCUAUUUAUACAUGCUUGUUAAUGUUUUUAAACGAACGACCCAAAAACAGUAGCUUUAAAAUCCACCUGACCUGUGACUCACCAGAUUUGUAAAAUGAGUGCGCAUUUUUAAGGUCAGCAUUCCCAUGCCAGCCUAGCUCUUGUUUGUUGGUGAAAGAUGUAUGUAACUCUAUUCUGGUUAUUGAGUCGAAGCUAUGGAGAUUAUUUUGCUUUCUGUCUUCCUUUCUGCCUCUGUGGAUUUUCUUUUUUCUUGGAAGCCUCAUUAACACUUCAGUAACAUGUGUCCAUGCCCCUGAGUAGAGGAUCAACACCUCACUUUGUGUGAAAAACAACCCAUUUUGACCGUGAUUGUAGCACAUCAGCUGCACAUUUAAACAGACCAGCAGUUGUUUUAUAUUCAGUCACAGUGUGGUAUAUUAAAGAAAAGAAGUCAUUCUGACUGCUCAAUUUUAUUUCCUUCAGCAAGUUUCUCGCUGGUCUGAGGGGACAGGUGGUAAAGCUGAAUAGAUGACCUACUGAAUAUAUUGCUCUUAUGUUCCUGGAGAGAGUUCAGACAUGGCGAAGACUUUACAGUGUGUGUGUGAGUAUGUGUUGGACUGAAAUGGGCAGGAGGGGAAACCACUGUGGAACAUGGAGAGGUUUGCGGUCUGACCUUCUUGGAUGAUACAAGUGUGGCACACCCAAGACUAAAGAGCUGCCGUCAGCUACAUGAACCCAUGGUUCUGUAAGAGCUAAAACAGCCACUAUAUGUCCUCCCAUUAGUUAAACAGAUUUUUUGAGAAAAUUAUUUUACAAUUCCUCCAUCAUCAGAAGCAGGCAUAACAUAUCAUUUAUAACAAAGAUUAUUUAAGGUUACUGUUCAGUAAACCAAACUGAAGUGAAGCUGAUGUGACCUCUAAAACACAAUAAGUCCAAAGGUAACUGUUGCAGUAGGUCCACUCAUUCAAUUAUGUUAAUAUUUGAAAUGAAAAGGACUGUGAGUUAAUGAUAAGAGGAGAACUAGUGCUUCUCAUUUAGACUUGACCUUAUGGGUCAGUGAGGCUCAACUAAUGACCUGGACGUGUGUCUUGCGGACUCUCUGAGUCGAUUAGAUGCUGUCUGUCUGUAAGUUUUCUCAUUCUUUCUUUGCCCUCUUUCACUCUCUCUAAUGGGUGACUAUACAAUUUCUUUUGCAUCUUGUGUAACAGCUGGGUUUCGGAACUAAAAAUCCCAUUCAGUUUCUCUAUAGGAGAAUUGAUUUUCUUUUUUUUUUAAAAAACCUUUAAAGACAGGAUUAUUGUGAGAUGAAUGGUUAUAUAUGGUUUUGUUGAAGCCAGAGAAUCAAAGCUUUUGUACUACUGAAGUGAAAAGUAUAUUUUGUAUACUGAAGUGAAAAGUACAUUCUGGGAUUGCUUUCUCCACAAAAAUAUAUGCAAUGCUGACAUAUAAUUUCUCCAAAAGAAGUUAUCUUAGAAAGCAGCGUAAUCUUCUGAAGCAGCAUUUGCGUAGGAGUUUGUCAAUGAUGCUUUAGAAAUGUGGCCUAUGGACCCAAUUCCCUCAUUCCCCCUAAACACAUUUUAUGUCCAUGCUCCACCCCCAAAAAAACACAUUCUUAUCAGAGGUCUGCAACCUCUUAGAUUAUGCACGGUCGGAGUCAGAUCAGUUCCAGAUGAGUGUGCUCCAGUCAGCAGGGAGACCGAUAAACUUCACCAUAUGCCCAUCUGAUCUGCAUCUGCUGUGACACACUGUGAGUAGCUCGCCACAAGCUGGAAGGUGGAGUGCGCUUGAGGAUAUAUAUAUAUAUAUAUAUAUAUAUAUAUAUAUAGGGAUAUUAGAGAAGUUACAGGAAAUUGUUGUUCACACAAAAAUGAAAUUCAUUUACUCAACCUCAUGUUGUUCCAAACCUGUAUAAUAUUAUUGCUUCUGUGUAGCACAAAAGAAAAUAUGUUGAAUGUUUUUGUACAAAUCAGCAUAUCAGAAUGAUUUCUGAAAGGUCAUGUGACACUGAAGAUGGCUGGUGAAAUUUCAGCUUUGCCAUCACAGAUAUAAAUCUCAUUUUAAAAUAUAUUACAUUAAUAUGUAUUGUUUUUAUAGAUAACAGCUCUUUUACAUUAAUAAUUCACAAUAAUAGUGUUUUUGCUGUAUUUUUCAUUAAAUAAAUGCAGCCUUGGUGAGCAUAAGAAACUUUUGAAUUGCAGUGUCAAUAGGAAAAAUAACAUUGGACCCCAUUUAGUUUGAUUGUCUGUACAAAAACAAGCACACUUCUAUGCUGUACAUGUCUGUGCUUUUACAGUGUGUUUGUGUAGGGUGUUUUUACUACAACUGCAGCCAUAUUUGAUAUUCUCAUUGUGCUUAUUGCAUUUGAAAGGAAAUGUGCUGUCUAAAUAAACUCAGACUCAAUAAAAGUCUCCUGAGGCUUAAGAGCAAUUAUGUGUUGUGUGUAUUCUAUAGUGCACUAACAAGCACUAUUAUCUUAACUAAAAGUGAACACCAAGUAAACUCUGUAUUUGUUCUUUCAUCCAAAUUAGUGUAAACAAUAAAGCUUGUAAAAUUUGCGUAUGACUGUUAGGAAACACACCUCUUGUAUAAAUAAGCGAGUAGCACAUAGUGUUCAAAUUGCUAAAACCUGAAGGGAUAGUUCACCCAAAAGUGAAAAUUUGCUAAAAAACAGAAAAAACAUUUAUUCACCCUUAGAUAAUCCAAUAUGUAGAUGCAUUGUUUGUUUAAUCGGAAUGGAUUUGGAGAAAUUUAGCAGUACUCACCAAUAGAUCCUCUGUAGGGUGCCAUCAGAAUAAGAGUCUAAACAGAUGAUAAAAACAUCACAAUAAUCCACAAGUGAUCCACAUGACUCGCAUCAAUUAAUGUCUUGUGAAUUGAAAAGCUGUGUUUGUAAUAAACAAAUUCAUCACUGAAACAUUUUAAACUUCAAAUUGUAGCUAAAAUACCUCUAUCCUCUGUCUAUAAUGUUACUUUCUCCACUGAAAAAGUUGUCUUAUCUGAAACAGGAGAGAACUAUACACUAUACACAGAUCAAACACCGUUUACAAGCGAAAACAGUUCUAAGCAAUUGUGCUGAAGCAACAGUUUGAAGUCU
ensembl:lncRNA